rnacentral:rRNA from 1 species
GGGGAAUUUUGGACAAUGGGCGCAAGCCUGAUCCAGCCAUGCCGCGUGUGGGAAGAAGGCCUUCGGGUUGUAAACCACUUUUGUCAGGGAAGAAACGGCCUUUUCUAAUACAAGGGGCUAAUGACGGUACCUGAAGAAUAAGCACCGGCUAACUACGUGCCAGCAGCCGCGGUAAUACGUAGGGUGCAAGCGUUAAUCGGAAUUACUGGGCGUAAAGCGUGCGCAGGCGGCUUUGCAAGACAGAUGUGAAAUCCCCGGGCUCAACCUGGGAACUGCAUUUGUGACUGCAUGGCUAGAGUGCGGCAGAGGGGGAUGGAAUUCCGCGUGUAGCAGUGAAAUGCGUAGAUAUGCGGAGGAACACCGAUGGCGAAGGCAAUCCCCUGGGCCUGCACUGACGCUCAUGCACGAAAGCGUGGGGAGCAAAC